GACGGCUUGAGUGCAGUUGAGGCAGGCGGAAUUCGUGGUGUAGCGGUGAAAUGCUUAGAUAUCACGAAGAACCCCGAUUGCGAAGGCAGCCUGCUAAGCUGCAACUGACGUUGAGGCUCGAAAGUGUGGGUAUCAAACAGGAUUAGAUACCCUGGUAGUCCACACGGUAAACGAUGGAUACUCGCUGUUGGCGAUAUACGGUCAGCGGCCAAGUGAAAACGUUAAGUAUCCCACCUGGGGAGUACGCCGGCAACGGUGAAACUCAAAGGAAUUGACGGGGGCCCGCACAAGCGGAGGAACAUGUGGUUUAAUUCGAUGAUACGCGAGGAACCUUACCCGGGCUUGAAUUGCAGACGAGUCAUCCGGAGACGGAUGAGCCGCAAGGCGUCUGUGAAGGUGCUGCAUGGUUGUCGUCAGCUCGUGCCGUGAGGUGUCGGCUUAAGUGCCAUAACGAGCGCAACCCUUUCCGCCGGUUACUAACAGGUGAUGCUGAGGACUCCGACGGUACUGCCAUCGUAAGAUGUGAGGAAGGUGGGGAUGACGUCAAAUCAGCACGGCCCUUACGUCCGGGGCUACACACGUGUUACAAUGGGGGGUACAGAAGGCAGCGACCUGGCGACAGGGAGCGAAUCCCGAAAGCCCCUCUCAGUUCGGACUGGAGUCUGCAACCCGACUCCACGAAGCUGGAUUCGCUAGUAAUCGCGCAUCAGCCACGGCGCGGUGAAUACGUUCCCGGGCCUUGUACACACCGCCCGUCAAGCCAUG
rnacentral:rRNA from 1 species